UACGUAGGGUGCGAGCGUUAAUCGGAAUUACUGGGCGUAAAGUGUGCGCAGGCGGCCAUGCAAGUCGAGUGUGAAAGCCCCGGGCUUAACUUGGGAAUUGCGCUCGAAACUACGUGGCUGGAGUGUGGCAGAGGAAGGUGGAAUUCCACGUGUAGCGGUGAAAUGCGUAGGAGAUGUGGAGGAACACCAAUGGCGAAGGCAGCCGU
rnacentral:rRNA from 1 species